AACGAUCGAUUUGUUCGUUGUCUAUUUUACAUAAAUGUACAUAAAAUGAAUAGCAAUUUUACAUUGCGAAAUAUUUAUGAUACUAACUAUUUACUUCUCUAAAGAGUUCUUGCUAGAGUUGAAUAUUCAGCUGACGAUCGAAGUGCACUCACGAUAAAUGCAAAAUAAUUCAACUGAAUCUAAUUUGAAUGUUAAAUAAUAAAAAUGGAUCAUUUACAUACCUUAUUAUAGUGUCUUUGGCUAGACCCAUGAGCACCGAGAAGACGAUUUCUCGAAUUUUAAAUCUAUUUUGGUUUUCUAAAAUGCGCAACUUUGUAAAGCGCUACAUAAAUAGCGUUGUGAUAUACAAAUGCGCUCCAUCCAGUGAAAUAUAAAAGCAUUGAUAAAUAGUACCACUAAAUGUUCAUUUUUUUCAGAUCGUGUACGGUUAUGAGCCCCGAAAUAUUAAGAAUAUCUUGAGAAACGUAAUUCAAAUUCAGGAUCAAAAGAUGCUAACGGAUAAUGAGCGGACUAUACUGAGACAAACUCCGCCGUAACAACUGAUGAUCUGUCGGUUUGGUGAUAUUGUGUUGGUAGAGAAUGAGCCGUUCAGCACUGGAACAUCAAGAAAACUGGAGCCUGUCUAUAAAGCACCUUUCAUUAUUAUGAAGCGCCAGGACUAGCGGUAUCUGUUGACGGCGGUAAAGUCUUAACCAAUUAGCUAAAAAUUCUAAUUAAGUCAAAGGAGGUUUCACCCUCCCUACGCUCAGCUACUGGGAUGCUUGUAACGUACCCACCGGCGGUAUCUGGAUCGCCCUCGGGGAAGAUGGUGGACUAGGAUCCUAACCAACUGCUGCGUGCCGAUCGUUCGCAAGAAGUCGAAGAGGACAGGCGGGCUCUAGGAAGCGCCAACAUAGCCUGGAGACCCCAAAUGUGGAGACCGGAGUCCUCUACGCGGAACGAGCGACAAGUGGUGGCGGCCACCGAAAAGGUUUACCACCACGGCGGAGGAAAAGAGCGAGGAACAUUUGUUAUCCACGGCCUGUGGGCGGUCCGGCUCCUAAGCGGAUGAGAUACGAAUCUAAUGCUGAUCUGCCCUCUGUCAUCGUCACCCAAUAGAUAGGGGUAAUUUUUUUUUAUUAUUUGCUGCAUGAGAACA